UUUUUGUCAAAUGUUCCAAAGUACUUUUCUUCUAUCAGAACUGACUGAUAAUGUCUGAAAAUGGCGUGGUUUUCGCUGCUUUUUCCCAUCGCUAACUAUAUGU
ensembl:snoRNA F59G1.14 ncRNA